GUUGUGCCCUUGAGGCGUGGCUUCCGGAGCUAACGCGUUAAAUCGACCGCCUGGGGAGUACGGCCGCAAGGUUAAAACUCAAAUGAAUUGACGGGGGCCCGCACAAGCGGUGGAGCAUGUGGUUUAAUUCGAUGCAACGCGAAGAACCUUACCUGGUCUUGACAUCCACAGAACUUUCCAGAGAUGGAUUGGUGCCUUCGGGAACUGUGAGACAGGUGCUGCAUGGCUGUCGUCAGCUCGUGUUGUGAAAUGUUGGGUUAAGUCCCGCAACGAGCGCAACCCUUAUCCUUUGUUGCCAGCGGUUCGGCCGGGAACUCAAAGGAGACUGCCAGUGAUAAACUGGAGGAAGGUGGGGAUGACGUCAAGUCAUCAUGGCCCUUACGACCAGGGCUACACACGUGCUACAAUGGCAUAUACAAAGAGAAGCGACCUCGCGAGAGCAAGCGGACCUCAUAAAGUAUGUCGUAGUCCGGAUUGGAGUCUGCAACUCGACUCCAUGAAGUCGGAAUCGCUAGUAAUCGUAGAUCAGAAUGCUACGGUGAAUACGUUCCCGGGCCUUGUACACACCGCCCGUCACACCAUGGGAGUGGGUUGCAAAAGAAGUAGGUAGCUUAACCUUCGGGAGGGCGCUUACCACUUUGUGAUUCAUGACUGGGGUGAAGUCGUAACAGG
rnacentral:rRNA from 1 species